GAUUGACCCUCAGGAGAGACACACGUGGCGGUCUAGAUCUCCAGAAGCCACAUCCGAACUGCAUCUCUCUCUUCACCGCGCCAACAACAGAGAGAUGAAACUCAGAAACAUUUAGAUGGAACACAGAAGAAGCUUCAAUUCAAUCUUCAUCAAAGCUGCUUGAAGAUGCGCAGCCUCACUUCCGGUCUCAUCAUCAGAUCCUCUUCUCUCCCAUUCACCUGCAACUCUUCCUUCACACUCUACAAACGGUUCCAUUUCCUAAAGCCAUGUUCUUCCCUCAAACAGACCAACAAGAAGCAGAAGCAGAAACAGUCUCUCCCUCCCUCCACCGCCCCUCCUCCCCAGACUCUCCGGUGGCUCUUCAGUCCCAAAUCAAGUGACGACGAAGACGCUAAAUCCUCCGCAGAUGGGGAUGCUGUUCUUAAGGGCACGAUUCUUGCCGGAGUUUUGUUGAUUGGUAGUGUUGGUGGAUUCGCCGGAGUUGGCUACGUCUACAAGGACCAUGACAAUAGACCUUUUACAUUUAGGACAAGUUUCAGAUGUUGUCCAAAGUUUUCUGUUGUGGAACCAAUAAACACAGGUUAUGGUCCUGCUGGGUACGCACUGUUUAUUACCGUGUAUGCUGGGCUUGAGAUACUAGCCAUUCCGGCUCUCCCGUUGACAAUGUCGGCUGGUCUUCUCUUCGGCUCUCUUAUCGGCACUAUCAUAGUUUCUAUCAGUGGAACUAUGGCUGCUAGUGUUGCUUUUCUGAUUGCUAGAUAUUUUGCUAGAGAGCGUAUCCUUAAGUUAGUUGAAGGCAACAAGAAGUUCCUCGCCAUUGAUAAAGCCAUUGGUGAAAAUGGGUUUAGGGUUGUUACUCUCCUUCGGCUAAGCCCUCUCCUUCCUUUCUCUCUUGGCAAUUACCUCUACGGCUUGACUUCUGUCAAGUUUGUGCCUUAUGUAUUUGGAAGCUGGUUGGGUAUGCUUCCAGGGUCUUGGGCUUAUGUUAGUGCUGGGGCUUUUGGACGAGCUAUCAUUGUUCAUGUUGGCCAGCUUGUGUUCUAUGGUAGAACCAAAUUGAAAGCUAGUAACUAUGUUGUCUUCAGCAAGAAGAAUCUAAUGUUGGCUUGCCUGGAGGAAACGGCCAGCUUUUAACGCUCGGGUUGGGUUUAUUGGUAACUGCAUUGGCUGCAACAUAUGUGACACGUCUUGCAAAGGAUGCUAUCAAGGAUAUUGAUGAUGAGUAGAGAGAUGCAAACCAAAGAGGACGGAACAGCACAUCGACGCAUCUGGAUCCAUUAGAUAAACUCGAGGAUUGGUAAAACCUUAGCAGAGAAGUACGAACCAAAAAGUUGAUAUUGCUCUAUUCUUGUUCAUAGUUGAGUUAUAUUUUGAUUUUUUGUUCUCUACACAGCAAUAUGUGAGAAAAGAAAAUGCUUAUAGAUAGAUGCAUUUAUAUAAA